rnacentral:rRNA from 1 species
UACGUAGGGCGCAAGCGUUAUCCGGAAUUAUUGGGCGUAAAGAGCUCGUAGGUGGUUUGUCGCGUUGUUCGUGAAAACUCACAACUCAAUUGUGGGCGUGCGGGCGAUACGGGCAGACUGGAGUACUGCAGGGGAGACUGGAAUUCCUGGUGUAGCGGUGGAAUGCGCAGAUAUCAGGAGGAACACCGGUGGCGAAGGCGGGUCUCUGGGCAGUAACUGACGCUGAGGAGCGAAAGCGUGGGGAGCGAACAGG